AGGGAAGCGCUCGUGCCCACCUUGCUCGCAGGUGCCCUUGCUGACCUGGGUGAUGGCCUUCUCCCCGCGGCUCUCGGCCCUCUGGCUGGCGGCGCGCAGCUGGCAGCCGCUCGGGUAGGGCAGCAGCCGCACGCGUCGCGGGUCUCGCCCAGCAGGCAGCCCAGCGGGGGCAGGGGCGGGCAGGAGGCCGGCUCGCAGGGGCCGCAGGUGUCCGAAGAGGAGGAAGAGGA
rnacentral:lncRNA from 1 species